rnacentral:misc_RNA from 1 species
GAGGCACGGACGACGCGCGCGCGUCGUCGGGCGCGGCACGGACAC